GGGAGGGCCUGCACCUGCUGAGCAUGCACGCGGCAGGCUCACCUGAAGCCCGAAGGUGAGCCCGCACAACGCACGCACAUAAGCACGCACGCGCACGCACGGAGGCUCGCUGGAAGCUUGGAGGCGAGCCUGCACGAUGCUCGCACAUGAGCGAGCACGCACGCGUACACACGAGGCACGCAGGUGGGCAUGCGUGCGUUAGGUGUACCUGUACACUUGCUGCCCCCCUGAUGAUUUGCUCAACAGUGUCUGCAAUUGGCAGCCAGAAGGAGUCCGCAAGAAGCAGGAGGGUUCGGACCUGAGACCGGGCCACAGGAGGAAGGCCAGGAUCCGGAAGCGCAAGCCUCAUCUUGCAGCCUGAGGGAACAGCCUCAUAUUCAGGCUUCCUUUUGCCUUCUCUGCUUCACCUUGAUUGAAGCUACCCUUCUCUGCACCUUCUUUAAGACUAUCCUAAACAUCCUGCCAUUAAUUAGCUGAACAGCCCAUCUAGUAAACAAGACCGACGGUUGAGGGGCUGGAAAAGAGGAGGAGUCAGCAAGUUGAAAGUCACAACAAACCAGCCCACUCCCUCAGAUAAAAGAAAGGCACAUCACAGUUGUCACAUCAGCAGGCUAGAAAAGCCAUCCCAUUCCUGCGGUAGGCAUUCUGUCAAAGAAAAAGAAAUCUGCAAUGAAUUAUCACAUCAAGUCAAACAAGGAAAGGAGGCAAAAAGCAAGCAGAGCCCUCUUCCUGUUUUGUAGACUCUGCUGGCUACAAUCUAAUAGAAUGCUUAAUCUGAAUAUUUCUGGUGGCAAAACUAUAGCAACCAUUCUGUCUAUUAAAAAGUCAGUGUGGUUAACAAGUGGUUAGUGAUUCUAUUUUUGGGAAGUAGCAGAUACAUAAAGUAAGACAUCCCAUUUUGUUAACUGAUUGGGCUUGGUUAUGCCAAAGAGAUGUAUUGAAUCUGUUUGUCUUUUAUAAACAUGUGUUCUCUAUUCGAUAUGCUCAGGAAUCACUUCUAACUAAGUAUCUUAAUAGUCUAUAAAUUACUGACUCAUUACUGGCCCUUCCCGGGCCUAAUUUAUAGUCUGAGUGAAAAGCUUUCGGAACAGACACUAAUAGAGGCCUCUCCUCCUCCCUAAAAUAUGAUGAUCUCAAAGGAGUUCUGUAUAGUUCUGCAUAUUGUAGACAGUAUCAAAAAUGCAAAUCUUAUAUAAUUUUAUAUACAUACCUGUAGGUACAGAUGUACACAUGGAUAUGCAUGGUGGGAUAAAAUACUCCCAUAAAAGAAAAUGGGAAAAUGGAUUCUAAGUGCAAUAAUUAAUACAUUUCAGUAAAGAAAGAAAAGUUGCAUGCUUUUCAUUCCAAGAGACAUAUUUUGCAUUUCAGUGUUAGGAGACCUGGAUCACACAGGGUCUCUGUAACAUCCUGAAUCUCACCAUAAGACCCAGAGGGGAGCAGAACUAAAAUUCAGGACUUAGGAAUAAAAUUUCCCUUUCCCUGGCACAUUUUUAAUCAUUUAAACUAGUAACAGUCACAUCCAGAGAAUUCAUAACUGUCAAUCUUUUCAGAAAAACAAAGAAAAUCAUAAAAUUCAGGUUAGGGAUUUUUUCCCCCUUAGGCUAAUAACUCUGAAGCAGUUCUGGAGUCUGUAUACUUCCAGCCCAAUGAAUUAACCUUGAACAGCCACAGCCAUAUUUUAAGAAAUACAGAAUAACCUUUUACGAUCAAGAUAAUGCUAUGGAGGCAGUGAAAUCUUCAUCUUAAAAAAUAAUUAAACCACAUUUAUAAUUUAUACUAAAAAUGGAAAGUAGACUUAACCCUUUUAGAAAGACCUCCAUCAACAUGAGGUGAAACAAAUAUAGUUUUCUAGAUAACCUUCUGUUAAUCAUAAAAUUCAAUUAACUUGAAAACCUUCUCUCCAAAUAUCCUGCUUAAGAAGAUUUACUAUGCUUGUCAGGCUUUGGCGCCCUGGCUGAAAUGUCUUCGGUUAGUUAUGCUGCUAUGCAGUUCACUCCAGAUCAGUGUAUCAGGGAUGACAAAACAGUGGCACAUUCCAAGUGUCAUUCCUCAGUGUUCUUUCUGUGAGCUUGUUCUUUACCAUGGGGCUUUUUGUGUUGUAGAACACUUCUGGAUUGAAGAAAACAUUCUAACAAGGACUAGAACAUUCCAACUCUACUUCCUAAAAUUGCGCUAUAGAACAGUGUUAAGUGAAUGCCUCAGAGAGUCACAAAUAACUUGCAGGAAUGCAUAGGAUGUCUUCCCACAACCACAGGCAGUGGAGCCUCAGUCUGUGAAACAGCUCCUACCACCACGGCUGCCUUACAGAGAGGCUUAUGCCAAAGUAAUACUCCUAGCUUCUUGACCUUGAUAUUUUAAAUUUUACAACCACAGUGACAAUCUUUAACAUCAUGUAUUAUUUAAAGCACAGGGAUGGUUUUAUAUGGAGUUAAAUGGACCUAGGAGUAAGGCUGCAUUCCUUCUAAACAUACAGUGUUGAAGUGAGCCUUGCUUGAGAAAGGAGGUUUUGGCUUAGAGGGAGACUGAGUCUUAGCUGAGUUCACCUGAGAAAUAACCAGGUUUUAAUCUUUUCAGACGGGGCAAUAUAAAAUAGUUCUUAUUAGCAUGGAAAAGGUCACUUUUGAAAGAUCGAUUCGAUUCACCUUCACAGAUGAUUUAUCACUGCUUUGCAAACAAAAUAUUUUUUUUAAUAACUUAUUCAAUAACACAGAUCCUAUGAGAAAACCAAAGUUUAGAGUUGACCCAGAUUUCUGUGAUGUUCUUCCUAUUUGAAUUCUAAAAUAAAGAAGGAAUAAACAAGCAUGUGUAAUUAGUGAAGAGCAAUUUCAGUAAACAUAUUCCCUAGGGUCCUCUAUUUUGAGUCACUGCUUUUUCCUUUUGAUGUACAAAGGAUGUACAUUGUCUAUGUAGGGCAAUUAUGGUAACGGCCCAACUUUGGCAUGCUUUCCAGAGUAAGCAACUUUACAGGAAGAUGGAUGAAGACAGCUCAUCUUCACGUCAACUGUAAAGUUCUCUCUAUUUGUGUUGCAAAUGUUGAAACUAAAUUUAAACAUUGCUUGGUGUGAGGGCCUUCCAGAGGCCACAUUCUCAUGGAAUACUUUGUAUCCCACUUACUUUCUUCUGUCAGACCCUAUGAAUGAUUCCCAGUUCUGUAUCUUUUUACAGACACUCCUAGUUAGUAAAAUCCAGGCUUUGACCAGAAAGAGUCAGGACUUCCACCCACUACUGAAAAUUAGAGAUUAAUCAAUAACACAAUUAGACCUCCCUAACAAACUGGAUCCUACAUGCCUAUAUACUACUUAAGGUUCAUUUCUGGUUUAAUAAAGCUCUGUUCUCAACA